GAUGAACGCUAGCGGCAGGCUUAAUACAUGCAAGUCAAGGGGGUAGCAAUACUACCGGCGCACGGGUGAGUAACACGUACAUAACAUACCAUAUACUGGGGUAUAGCUUUGGGAAACUGAAGGUAAUCCCCCAUAACAUUGCGAGAGGGCAUCUGAUUGCAAUUAAAGUUUCGACGGUAUAUGAUUGAUGUGCGUUUGAUUAGCUUGUUGGUAGGGUAACGGCCUACCAAGGCGACGAUCAAUAGCUGGCGUGAGAGCGCGACCAGCCACACUGGAACUGAGACACGGUCCAGACUCCUACGGGAGGCAGCAGUAGGGAAUAUUGGACAAUGGGCGAAAGCCUGAUCCAGCCAUGCCGCGUGAUAGAUGAAGGCUCUCUGGGUUGUAAAUAUCUUUUAUCUGGGAAGAAACAAUCUUAUUCUUAAGAUCUUGACGGUACCAGAGGAAUAAGCACCGGCUAACUCCGUGCCAGCAGCCGCGGUAAAGUA
rnacentral:rRNA from 1 species